GAUGAACGCUGGCGGCGUGCCUAAUACAUGCAAGUCGAGCGAACGGACGAGAAGCUUGCUUCUCUGAUGUUAGCGGCGGACGGGUGAGUAACACGUGGAUAACCUACCUAUCAGACUGGGAUAACUUCGGGAAACCGGAGCUACUACCGGAUAAUAUUUUGAACCGCAUGGUUCAAAAGUGAAAGACGGUCUUGCUGUCACUUAUAGAUGGAUCCGCGCUGCAUUAGCUAGUUGGUAAGGUAACGGCUUACCAAGGCAACGAUGCAUAGCCGACCUGAGAGGGUGAUCGGCGACACUGGAACGGAGACACGGUCCAGACGCCUACGGGAGGCAGCAGUAGGGAAUCUUCCGCAAUGGGCGAAAGCCUGACGGAGCAACGCCGCGUGAGUGAUGAAGGUCUUCGGAUCGGAAAACUCUGUUAUUAGGGAAGAACAUAUGUGUAAGUAACUGUGCACAUCUUGACGGUACCUAAUCAGAAAGCCACGGCUAACUACGUG
rnacentral:rRNA from 1 species